rnacentral:rRNA from 1 species
ACUGCUAAGACUGGAUAGGAGACAAGAAGGCAUCUUCCUGUUUUUAAAAGACCUAGCAAUAGGUAUGCUUAGGGAGGAGCUUGCGUCACAUUAGUUAGUUGGUGGGGUAAAGGCCUACCAAGACUAUGAUGUGUAGCCGGGCUGAGAGGUUGAACGGCCACAUUGGGACUGAGACACGGCCCAAACUCCUACGGGAGGCAGCAGUAGGGAAUUUUCGGCAAUGGAGGAAACUCUGACCGAGCAACGCCGCGUGAACGAUGAAGUAUUUCGGUACGUAAAGUUCUUUUAUUAGGGAAGAAUAAAUGAUGGAAAAAUCAUUCUGACGGUACCUAAUGAAUAAGCCCCGGCUAACUAUGUGCCAGCAGCCGCGGUAAUACAUAGGGGGCAAGCGUUAUCCGGAAUUAUUGGGCGUAAAGGGUGCGUAGACGGUUAAAUAAGUUUAUGGUCUAAGUGCAAUGCUCAACAUUGUGAUGCUAUAAAAACUGUUUAGCUAGAGUAAGAUAGAGGCAAGUGGAAUUCCAUGUGUAGUGGUAAAAUGCGUAAAUAUAUGGUGGAACACCAGUAGCGAAGGCGGCUUGCUGGGUCUUUACUGACGCUGAGGCACGAAAGCGUGGGGAGCAAACAGGAUUAGAUACCCUGGUAGUCCACGCCGUAAACGAUGAGUACUAAACGUUGGGUAAAACCAGUGUUGAAGUUAACACAUUAAGUACUCCGCCUGAGUAGUACGUACGCAAGUAUGAAACUUGAAGGAAUUGACGGGACUCCGCACAAGCGGUGGAUCAUGUUGUUUAAUUCGAAGGUACCCGAAAAACCUCACCAGGUCUUGACAUGCUUCUGCAAAGCUGUAGAAACACAGUGGAGGUUAUCAGUUGCACAGGUGGUGCAUGGUUGUCGUCAGCUCGUGUCGUGAGAUGUUGGGUUAAGUCCCGCAACGAGCGCAACCCUUAUUGUUAGUUACCAGCACGUAAUGGUGGGGACUUUAGCAAGACUGCCAGUGAUAAAUUGGAGGAAGGUGGGGACGACGUCAAAUCAUCAUGCCCCUUAUGACCUGGGCUACAAACGUGAUACAAUGGCUGUUACAAAGGGUAGCUGAAGCGCAAGUUUUUGGCGAAUCUCAAAAAAACAGUCUCAGUUCGGAUUGAAGUCUGCAACUCGACUUCAUGAAGUUGGAAUCGCUAGUAAUCGCGAAUCAGCAUGUCGCGGUGAAUACGUUCUCGGGGUUUGUACACACCGCCCGUCAAUCAUGG